UACGGGGGGAGCAAGCGUUGUUCGGAUUUACUGGGCGUAAAGGGCGCGUAGGCGGCCACCGCAAGUCGACUGUGAAAUCUCAGGGCUCAACCCUGAAACUGCAUUCGAUACUGCGUGGCUAGAGUGCUGGAGGGGAGACUGGAAUUUACGGUGUAGCAGUGAAAUGCGUAGAUAUCGUAAGGAAGACCAGUGGCGAAGGCGAGUCUCUGGACAGCAACUGACGCUGAGGCACGAAGGCCAGGGGAGCAAACGGG
rnacentral:rRNA from 1 species